rnacentral:rRNA from 1 species
UCUGGUGCCAGCAGCCGCGGUAAUUCCAGCUCCAAUAGCGUAUAUUAAAGUUGUUGCAGUUAAAAAGCUCGUAGUUGGAUUUUGGUGGCUUUGAUAGGUGUCUGCCGGAUAGGUAUGUGCAUUUAUCGGGUCGCUAUCUCUUACGGGUAAUCCAUGCCUGCUCUUAAUUGAGUGGGUGGUCAUACUCUCGGGGUAUGGUGCUAGGAUUGAGUUUUACUUGGUUUUAGUAGGGUUCCCGUUCAUUUACUUUGAGUAAAUUAGAGUGUUUAAAGCAGCCUCUUUGGGCUUUGAAUAGCAUUAGCAUGGGAUAAUAGAAUAGGACUUUGGUUCUAUUUUGUUGGUUUUCAGAACCUGAGUAAUGAUUAAUAGGGACAGUUGGGGGCAUUUGUAUUUUGUUGUCAGAGGUGAAAUUCUUAGAUUUACGAAAGACAAACUAGUGCGAAAGCAUUUGCCAAGGAUGUUUUCAUUAAUCAAGAACGAAAGUUAGGGGACUUCGAGAGAUCGAUUAGACAGUACCGUCGAGAGAUAGAUCCUAUAUCCAUCCAAACUAUGCCGACCAGGGAUUUGUGGACGUUUAUUUUCAAAAAUGACUCCAUGAGCACCUUGUGAGAAAUCAAAGUUUUUGGGUUCCGGGGGGAGUAUGGUCGCAAGGCCGAAACUUAAAGGAAUUGACGGAAAGACACCACCAGGAGUGGAGUUUGCGGCUUAAUUCGACUCAACGCGGGAAAACUCACCAGGAUAGGACAGAAUGAGGAUUGACAGGUUGAAUAUGGUCCUUUCUUGAUUUUUUGGAAGGUGGUGCAUGGCCGUUCUUAGUUCGUGGAGUGAUCUGUCUACUUAAUUGUGUUAACGAACGAACUACCGUACAGCCAGUGAUUAACUAGGCUAACUAGCUCGUGACCAUUUUAUUCAUGGGUUUCUUACGAAAUCUAGGUCAUUCGGGUUUUACCCGAGCUUCUUAAAGGGACAAUACUGUGUAUUUUAUAUUUUAGCGUAGGGAAGUUUAAGGCAAUAACAGGUCUGUGAUGCCCUGAGAUAUCCUGGGCGGCACGCGUACUACAAUGUCAUUGACAACAGGCUUUCCGCUUCGGCGGGCCUCUACCAAAAUGUAGGGGAAAACGUGUCAAACACUUAUAUGACUGGGAUAGCUGUUUGUAAUUACAUCUUAAACGAGGAAUUCCUAGUAAGCGCAAGUCAUCAUCUUGCAUUGAUUACGUCCCUGUCUUUUGUACACACCGCCCGUCGCUACUACCGAUUGAAUGGUUUAGUGAGGCCUCGAGACUGGCGCCCGCGAGCUGGCAACAGCUUGUUGGUGCCGGGAACUUGGACAAACUUGAUCAUUUAGAGGAAGUAAAAGUCGUAACAAGGUUUCCGUAGGGAA